CCUACGGGAGGCAGCAGUGGGGAAUAUUGGACAAUGGGGGAAACCCUGAUGCAGCGACGUCGCGUGAGUGAUGACGUACCUCGGUAUGUUAAGCUCCAUUAGCAGGGAAGAUAAUGACGGUACCUGACUAAGAAGCUCCGGCUAAAUACGUGCCAGCAGCCGGGGUAAUAAGGAUGGAGCAACCGUUAUCCGGAUUUACUGGGGGUAAAGGGAGCGCAGACGGGAGGGCAAGGCUGUUGUGAAAGUCCUGGGUUCAACCCCGGGAUUGCAUUGGAAACUGUCCGGCUAGAGUACAGGAGAGGUAAGUGGAAUUCCUAGUGUAGCGGUGAAAUGCGUAGAUAUUACGAAGAACACCGGUGGCGAAGGCAGCUUACUGGACUGUAACUGACGUUGAGGCUCGAAAGCGUGGGGAGCAAACAGGAUUAGAUACCCCGGUAGUC
rnacentral:rRNA from 1 species